UAGGGAAUCUUCGGCAAUGGACGAAAGUCUGACCGAGCAACGCCGCGUGAGUGAAGAAGGCUUUCGGAUCGUAAAACUCUGUUGUUAGAGAAGAACAAGGACGUUAGUAACUGAACGUCCCCUGACGGUAUCUAACCAGAAAGCCACGGCUAACUACGUGCCAGCAGCCGCGGUAAUACGUAGGUGGCAAGCGUUGUCCGGAUUUAUUGGGCGUAAAGCGAGCGCAGGCGGUUUCUUAAGUCUGAUGUGAAAGCCCCCGGCUCAACCGGGGAGGGUCAUUGGAAACUGGGAGACUUGAGUGCAGAAGAGGAGAGUGGAAUUCCAUGUGUAGCGGUGAACUGCGUAGAUAUAUGGAGGAACACCAGUGGCGAAGGCGGCUCUCUGGUCUGUAACUGACGCUGAGGCUCGAAAGCGUGGGGAGCAAACAGG
rnacentral:rRNA from 1 species